GGUGAGUCUCUGAAUGGUCACGCUAUUAACAUGGGAACACACCUGAUCCUUGAGGUUUUUACGCCUGCAACACCUGUACAGUAUAUAAAGAGCUGCACGAAGUGUAGUAUCACCAUGCAGCAAAACUCAUCUACAGCAUUUACCUGUUCAUCAUGAUGAAGCUGAUCCUUUCUCUGACUCUCAUCUGGGCGCUCUCCAGCACAGCUGGAGCACUUCAGUGUCAAACUUGCAUAGAUGAGCUGUGUUCAAGACUGGUAUCAUUUAAAUGUUUCACAGCGACAGAGUUGUGUCUAUCAGUUUCCAUUCAAGCCACUUUAUUUGGAAACGCAGUCCAGCAAAUCUUGAAGGCUUGUGCACCGCCCUCCCUGUGUCCGGCCACAGGCUCUCAAAAUAUUUCAGCCAGCUUAGGUUUUGUGAAUGGAGUUGCAUCUGUUCAGUGCUGCAACACGGAUAACUGCAACAACGAAACAACUCCAGCUUUCCCAGUGGCACAGACAACUAACAACAUGGUGUGUUACACUUGUAACCCCGGCACCUCUCAAUGCACCACCCCAGUAGUAUGUAAGGGAGAGGAGGACCGCUGCUUUCAAGCAAGUGUGAUAAAUGGGUCCAGCACUUCUCCAGUCUUUGGCUGUGCAUCUUCAAACCUGUGUACAGCUGCUGCCAGCCUGGGUAACCUACCUUUUGUACAAGGUAUUGGUGACUUCACCAGCAGUGGACCAUCCUGUUGUAACACCUCAUUGUGUAAUACUGUUACAACAACAACAACAAGCGACGCCUGCCGUAUCAGACUGGCUAUGAUCCUUCUGAUGCUCGGACUCCUUAUCUUAACCCUCUUUUAGAACACCGACAAAAUGGAGGAAGCACCUUUGAAGCCAGCAGAAUGAGUUCUUUUGAAGCCUGUAGUUGGGUUUAUUGCUCACUGACAUCUUUAGCUGGGAGUUACAGGGGCUAGAAAAAUCACAUUUAGGGAAAAGGGGGUUUUUGGGUGAAUCUUAAGUGGGAUAAUUAAGCAGCAAUGCAGUAGACUUUUUUCACAGCAGUCAUUUUGACAUGAAAUAGUAGGGUAAACACAGGUGUUACCAAUGAUACUAAUUAAGGUUCUGUUCAGAUUAAACAGAGUCAGGUUGCUGCUAUUGUGCAUGUUGUCACUGGAAAGGUUCUGCUGCACUAAAUGGAACCUUAAUUAGUAUCAAUGGCAACACACGUGUUUACCCUACUAUUUCAUGUAAAAAUGGCUGCUGUGAAAAAUGUCUAUUGUCAGGCACUAAGAUGCAUGAACUUUUUCACAGCUUUAAUUUGAUUUGAUUUUUCUUACUGUGUGUAUUUUAACUGGAUUCAAUGUUUUUUUGCAAAUUGUACAAAUAUAAUACACUUUAAAAAAAUGUGUUGGACCUUUUGUUCUCUGGUGACUUUAAUGUAGUAUCUCAAUAGUUGUUGGGGUGAAAUUGCAGAUUGCAAGCAGCUGAAUAAUCCCUUACAUUCCAAGCAUGUAGGAGAAAAUAAUAAAUCUAUCUAGUGCCAGUGUUUUGUUUGUGGAAACAUACAAGAGGACCCGCUCCCUCUGUAGAUAAAAACGUCUCAUUCUAAGGUAACAAAAAUGCAUAAAGCAACAUUCUCUUAACUAAUAUUUUCUCAUAUAUAAGAGAAAGUAUAAGAGAAAAAUGCUAUUAGCAACGUUAAUGCCCUUUUAGACACUAUCAAAGGCUAUUCAUAUCAUCAUUUACGGAGUGUACAGGUGGUUUCCAGUUUCACAACAUUCCAGCAUAAUGAAAAACGAAAGCACAUGCGAAGUAGGUGACAUGAUCAAUGGCUUUUGUAUCAAGAAAAAUCUUGUCUUAUCUUUUUUCUUUUGUCAUGAGUUCACUGAUGCAUCGAAUACAACAACAAAGAUAUGAAUUAAACAUUUGCUGGUGUGUACUGUUGCUGUCUCUGCCUUUGCAUUUAUCUUACUCUUUCCUGGUGGACUUUGGUCUUUUUUUUAAAACUAAAUUCCUGUUGAUUCUGAUUCUUAGAGCCGUUUGGACCCCCCCCAUAAUGAUGCUGUAUCCUACUGACAGAUCAGCAGCAAUGGUUGAAUGUUGGAAAACAAAACAUGGUACAGAUGCAACAGAUGUGGUCCUGGUCUCCAAGGUUUCUGAAAAAUGUAUUAGAUUAUGUAAGAAUCAUCAAAGGUCACCCAAAUUAUAUCAUAUAAUAAUCCAAAAAUGAAGUUAAAGAAGAAAACCUCACUUUCCAAUUCUGAUUAUCUGUAUCAUACUUUGGCUGAUGAAAUGCAUUUGUUUUGUUUUAUUGAAAACACUGACUUUUAUCAAGAUAUAGUUAGGCAUUCAAUGUCUGACAUUAAGAUAUGUUAAUAACUACAGAACUAGAUGAUUGAAUCACAUGAACUAAAAAUCUAUACAACAUUUUCAGAGAGCACAGCACGGAAAAAAGUAUCAAAGAGAAUGAAAAGAGAAAUCUUUCUCACUUCAAUGUAUCAAU
rnacentral:lncRNA from 15 species